UGGGCUAGCCUGAGGUCAUGAACGCAAAGGCAGGAUUCUUCUUCUGCCCAUCACCUUUCCAGGUGAUGAGAGAGUGAGACCAGGACACAAAGCAAAUGACACCAAGGAGCAAAGCAGAGAUCACAAGGAAAAAGAAAAAGAUCAUAGCAGAGAAAUGUCCUCCAAUUCUGGUACUGAGCCUCUGUGAGGAACUGACAAAGAACAGUGUAAGAAAGGAGAAAGGUGAAAGGUGAGCAGGGUGUGGUGGCACAUGCCUGUGAUUCCAGACUUAGAAGGCUGAGGCCAGGGCAUUACUACAGUUUCAAAGCCAGCCUGGGGUACCUAGCGAGCCUCUGGAUAGCCUGGGCUACAGAGUGAGGUCAUAUUUUAAGAAAGGACAACAGGAACUGAAGAGA
rnacentral:lncRNA from 1 species